rnacentral:rRNA from 1 species
UGCGUAGGCGGGCAGGUAAGUCAGUGGUGAAAUCCCCGAGCUUAACUUGGGAACUGCCAUUGAUACUAUCUGUCUUGAAUACUGUGGAGGUAAGUGGAAUAUGUCAUGUAGCGGUGAAAUGCUUAGAUAUGACAUAGAACACCUAUUGCGAAGGCAGCUUGCUACACAGAAAUUGACGCUGAGGCACGAAAGCGUGGGGAUCAAACAGGAUUAGAUACCCGCGUA